AGGACGAACGCUGGCGGCGUGCUUAACACAUGCAAGUCGAGCGGAAAGGCCCUUCGGGGUACUCGAGCGGCGAACGGGUGAGUAACACGUGAGUAAUCUGCCCCUAGCUCUGGGAUAGCUCCGGGAAAACCGGGAUUAAUACCAGAUACGACCACUUUAGACAUCUUCUGUGGUGGAAAGAACUUCGGCUAGGGAUGAACUCGCGGCCUAUCAGCUUGUUGGUGAGGUAACGGCUCACCAAGGCGACGACGGGUAGCCGGCCUGAGAGGGCGACCGGCCACACUGGGACUGAGACACGGCCCCAGACUCCUACGGGAGGCAGCAGUGGGGAAUAUUGCGCAAUGGGCGAAAGCCUGACGCAGCGACGCCGCGUGGGGGAUGAAGGCCUUCGGGUUGUAAACCCCGUUUCAGCAGGGACGAGCGAAAGUGACGGUACCUGCAGAAGAAGCGCCGGCUAACUACGCGCCAGCAGCCGC
rnacentral:rRNA from 1 species